UGGGGAAUAUUGCACAAUGGACGGAAGUCUGAUGCAGCAACGCCGCGUGCGGGAUGACGGCCUUCGGGUUGUAAACCGCUUUUUCUCAUGACGAAGUUUUUUGACGGUAGUGGGGGAAGAAGCACCGGCUAACUACGUGCCAGCAGCCGCGGUGAUACGUAGGGUGCGAGCGUUGUCCGGAAUUAUUGGGCGUAAAGAGCUUGUAGGGGUUUGUCGCGUCGAUAGUGCAAACUCAGUGCUUAACGCUGAGCCUGCUGUUGAUACGGGCAGACUAGAGGAAGGUAGGGGAGAAUGGAAUUCCCGGUGGAGCGGUGGAAUGCGCAGAUAUCGGGAGGAACACCGGUGGCGAAGGCGGUUCUCUGGGCCUUUCCUGACGCUGAGAAGCGAAAGCGUGGGGAGCGAAAAGG
rnacentral:rRNA from 1 species